AUUGAACGCUGGCGGCAGGCCUAACACAUGCAAGUCGAGCGAGCGGCGGACGGGUGAGUAAUGUCUGGGCAACUGCCUGAUGGAGGGGGAUAACUACUGGAAACCGUAGCUAAUACCGCAUACCAUCAGAUGUGCCCAGAUGGGAUUAGCUAGUAGGUGGGGUAAUGGCUCACCUAGGCGACGAUCCCUAGCUGAGCUGAGAGGAUGACCAGCCACACUGGGACUGAGACACGGUCCAGACUCCUACGGGAGGCAGCAGUGGGGAAUAUUGCACAAUGGGCGAAAGCCUGAUGGAGCCACGCCGCGUGAGUGAAGAAGGCCUUCGGGUUGUAAAGCACUGUCAGUGAGGAGGCGUUACUCGCAGAGGAAGCAACGGCUAACUCCGUGCCAGCAGCCGCGGUAAUAC
rnacentral:rRNA from 1 species